UAGCUGAGUACCUGGGCUCUGGGGCUGAAGAAGGGAAGGUGAUGGGGUUUUCUCUCCUAUCAAUUUAGAUUUGUCCAGCUGUUUUCCCUCUUGCAGAAGUCAUCAAAAUAUCAUCAGAAAGCCAAUGGAAUCUCAACUAAUAAAUGAAGCAAGAAAACUAAAAUGAGAGAAACUAUCACUUGGUAACUGACGGCCAUAACAAUUCAGGUUAACUGAGGUGUUAAAGCUACCCUGAUGUCACCCUGAUGUCAUUCCUAUGGCUGAGGUUUGGAAAAAGAAGCAGCAGCAGUCUGGACACCGGUGUGUACUUUUUCUCUGCUUCCUGACUCUGUACCCCAUGACUUCCUUGUCAUGAUGGACUGUUUCCCAUGAACUAGGCCAGAUAAAAGCACAUAUGUGCUAAUCAGGAACUUCAUGGAGGAUUUCAGAGGCAAGCUUCCCGCACUCUGUUGAGCAUACAGCCUCAGGCAGGACUGCUGCACGACUGAGCAAACCCCAGUCCAAGAGAAAGGCCCCCUGUCCUCUCCACCGUUCUUUGACUUCCCAAAUGUUCUAAAGCUGACUGAUGGUCAAUCUGAGCUGUCAUACGAUGACUGGGAACUGACCUGGGUACCACUUGAUAGAAGUUAUAAACUUCAGGCGGUGCCAAAGCCCCCUCGCCAUCUGCAUGUGGAAAAGGAGGCAGUGUGUGGGAGGGGCAAG